UACGUAGGUGGCAAGCGUUGUUCGGAAUUACUGGGCGUAAAGCGCGCGUAGGCGGACCUGCAAGUCGGGGGUGAAAGCCCGAGGCUCAACCUCGGAACUGCCUUCGAUACUGCCGUGCUUGAGGACUGGAGAGGAGACUGGAAUUUACGGUGUAGCGGUGAAAUGCGUAGAUAUCGUAAGGAAGACCAGUGGCGAAGGCGGGUCUCUGGACAGUUCCUGACGCUGAGGCACGAAGGUCAGGGGAGCAAACGGG
rnacentral:rRNA from 1 species